rnacentral:rRNA from 1 species
GACGAACGCUGGCGGCGUGCUUAACACAUGCAAGUCGAACGGAAAGGCCCUGCUUGCAGGGUACUCGAGUGGCGAACGGGUGAGUAACACGUGGGUGAUCUGCCCUGCACUUCGGGAUAAGCCUGGGAAACUGGGUCUAAUACCGGAUAGGAGCCAUUUUUAGUGUGAUGGUUGGAAAGUUUUUUCGGUGUAGGAUGAGCUCGCGGCCUAUCAGCUUGUUGGUGGGGUAAUGGCCUACCAAGGCGGCGACGGGUAGCCGGCCGGAGAGGGUGGACGGCCACAUUGGGACUGAGAUAAGGCCCAGACUCCUACGGGAGGCAGCAGGGGGGAAUAUUGCACAAUGGGCGCAAGCCUGAUGCAGCGACGCCGCGUGGGGGAUGACGGACUUCGGGUUGUAAACUCCUUUCGCUAGGGAAGAAGCUUUUUGUGACGGUACCUAGAUAAGAAGCACCGGCUAACUACGUG